rnacentral:tRNA from 1 species
UGUUUUGUGGUUUAGUUGGUUAAAGCGUCGGUCUAGCAAAUCCGGAGUUGCGGGUUUGAAUCCCACCAGAACGC